rnacentral:tRNA from 1 species
GCCCGGGUGGUCUAGUGGUAUGAUUCUCGCUUAGGGUCCAAACCCAAGCAUAUCUGCGAGAGGUCCCGCGUUCGAUCCGCGGCUCGGGCC